AGUAGGUAAUAAUAUUAUUAUAACACGAACGACAGAUCGCCACUGCAGCUGCACCCGACCGACGAAGACCGCGGCUUGUACACUUAUCGCUGGCAGUCGUUGCGCGUGUAUAUGCGUACGACAGUAUAUUACGUACGUACGAGUGUGUAAGUGUGAGUUGUGCUAUACCGUCAUGGCACGGCGAAGAGAAGAGUCGGGGCGGUAAUGAAUAAUAUUAUGUUAUAAUAUACGGUGCGAUCGCGGUGACGGUAUAUUGUUGAAUCACGCACAGUGCGCUUCCCGCGAAUCACGUCCUGCUGGUCGCUCGGGACUUUCGUCGAUUUUUAGGAUACGUAGCGGUACAUCUGCACAAGUCGGAGUCGGGGUUAACCGCUAAGACGACUUGCAGUCAGUCGUGUGUAAUUUUACUGUUGUAUAGUCGCUGGCGAAAAUUCGCAGAGAAACCGAAGGCCGCCGAGCGACCGUUUCUGUGGUGACAUCGAGUCCAGUCAACAAUAAUAAUUAUUGACGAUAAUAAUGACCAAGAGCACGCGUCCAUGUCGUCAAGUUAAUAAUAUAAUAUGUUAUAUAUUAUGUACCUACUAUAGCUUUGAAUUGAUAUGAUCAACAAACCAAAUAUUUGACACUUAAAGUUUGAAGUUAAUAUUUAAUAUUAUAAUAUGUUAAAAUAUUUUAAAAUUUUAAAUACAUAAUGCUAAAUAUUUUGAACAAUAAUUGUACGUUAUAGAUUUAUAUAGCAUAAUAUUGCUAUUCCACACUAAUCAUAAAAUGCACCUUAUUUUCCGCUUUUUAUAUUCAACUCGAGUUAUGAUUAAUUAUUAUGAAUCAUAUAUUCAUAUUCUUAUGAAUAUAUUUAAAUUAAAUUUAAAUGAAUUUUACGUGUUUAAUCAGGCGUGGACUAGCUGGGAAUUAAGAUUAGCAGCAUCGCUUGCUCUUAAUAUAUUUGUCUAAUAUAUAUUAUUAUAUAUUUAAAGACUCUAGACACCUAAUGAACAGUAGAUCGUUACCAAAUUACGAUUAUUAGUAAUCUAAUAUUGUACAAUUUUGAUUAGAAGUUUGUUGUAACUUGGUACUUAUUUAAGUUUUUAACGUAUAUUCAAUAUUUAAUAUUUUUUUAAAACAAAAUUAUAUAUAUUAAUAUUUUAUAAAUAAUCAUUUAAAUCUUUUAAAUUUGCCCCAACAUUUUUUGUUAUUUGCCCUUUAAAUUGUGUAGCAUGCCGCGCCUGUGGUCAAUUAUUUUUGAGCCCGACACGGAGGUAUUAUAACUAAAAUUUGAUGUACACCUAUAAAAAAUAAACAGACUUUUUUUAAAAGAACAUAAGACUAUAUUUGUAACAAC